UACAGAGGUGGCAAGCGUUGUUCGGAAUUACUGGGCGUAAAGGGCGUGUAGGCGGUCUUCUAAGUCAGACGUGAAAUCCCCCGGCUUAACCUGGGAACUGCGUCUGAUACUGGGAGGCUUGAGUAUGGGAGAGGGAUGUAGAAUUCCAGGUGUAGCGGUGAAAUGCGUAGAUAUCUGGAGGAAUACCGGUGGCGAAGGCGGCAUCCUGGACCAUUACUGACGCUUAAGCGCGAAAGCUAGGGGGAGCAAACGGG
rnacentral:rRNA from 1 species